UUUACUGAAAAUGUCGAUCCUAAUUCACCUCACUCGAACCUUCUCUCGAGCUUCCGUCUCUCACAUCCCAAAUUCACCUCACUUCACCUCUUCUCUCUCGAACCUUCACUGCAUCUCUUCUCUCUUAAACCUUCACUCCACCUUGUGUUUCUUCUCCUUAGAAAAUCAAUCUCUUUCACUUAAACCCUUAAAACCUUAGUCUCCACUAUGCAUGUCUCUUUCGCGUUNGCCUUAUCUUGAAACCCUAGCCUUCACCGUGUGGAGAUGGUGGNAACGACAGUGGCGAGGCUNCAGGGGAUGCGGAGANGAAGCAGGUGGUCUGGGAGGCGUUCCUUCCCCUGGUGCUGGUUCUCAAUUGGGGCUUCUUCGAACACCGUCUUCUACGAUCUCUUCUACAUGGCCUUGGAUAUCAAGAGAUGGAUGAAGUGAAAGCCUGUUCACAAAUGGAUGAUCCGCCACCUAUAUUUCCCGUGUUUAAGGCAAGGCANACCAAAGGCCGUUGCUCUUUUAAUUGCCUUCCUAGUUUCUGCUUUAUUCCAUGAGUUGUGCAUUGCUGUUCCUUGCCACAUAUUCAAAUUGUGGGCUUUCGGUGGAAUUAUGUUUCAGGGGUCAGUUUCAAUUAGUAUGUCUCUCUUCCAGUCACUAACAGCCAGAUUUUCUGGUUCGGGGAUUUGAAUUAUCGGAUCAAUAUGUUGGAUGCUGAGGUUAGAAAAUUGGUGGCUCUAAGAAGUGGAAUGAGUUGAUGAAUUAUGACCAUCUAAGCAAAGAAUUGCGUAUCGGGCAUGUGUUUGAUGGAUGGAAAGAGGAGUUUAUUUCAAAGUAACUUGUCAGGUGGAAUUAUCGUCCCUGAUGAAGCUGAGCUUAGGUUGCUUGAAGCUUUCUAUCACAACAUAUCCAAGGUGGAAUAAUCCAAGAUGAAGUUUUCUCCAAGAUUUGAUUUAUGCAGGUGAGAUUUGGAAAACUUAUGAUAUUGUUUUCUUCAUUAUAAUGCAGAUUUCUAANGAAGAGGUUAAGCGUGGAUGAAGUGUAAAACUGUACCANAAAUUGUAAUUUCAAUCUUUUAUCUCAAUUUUUACCCUUAAGUUGUUUUUAUGUAAAUAUAUAUUGCACUUUAAUUGUGUUAAUAAUUUGAAUUCACUUU